UACACCAAGGAAACUGGCCCUGAGUU
rnacentral:piRNA from 1 species